rnacentral:rRNA from 1 species
GGCUUAACACAUGCAAGUCGAGGGGAAACGACAUCGAAAGCUUUGCUUUUUGCUGGGCGUCGACCGGCGCACGGGUGAGUAACGCGUAUCCAACCUGCCCAUCACUUGGGGAUAACCUUGCGAAAGUAAGACUAAUACCCAAUGAUAUCUCUAGAAGACAUCUGAAAGAGAUUAAAGAUUUAUCGGUGAUGGAUGGGGGAUGCGUCUGAUUAGCUUUGUUGGCGGGGUAACGGCCCACCAAGGCAACGAUCAGUAGGGGUUCUGAGAGGAAGGUCCCCCACAUUGGAACUGAGACACGGUCCAAACUCCUACGGGAGGCAGCAGUGAGGAAUAUUGGUCAAUGGACGAGAGUCUGAACCAGCCAAGUAGCGUGCAGGAUGACGGCCCUAUGGGUUGUAAACUGCUUUUAUAAGGGAAUAAAGUGAGUCUCGGAGACUUUUUGCAUGUACCUUAUGAAUAAGGACCGGCUAAUUCCCGUGCCAGCAGCCGCGGUAAUACGGAAAGGUCCGGGCGUUAUCCGGAUUUAUUGGGUUUAAAGGGAGCGUAGGCCGGAGAUUAAGCGUGUUGUGAAAUGUAGAUGCUCAACAUCUGAACUGCAGCGCGAACUGGUUUCCUUGAGUACGCACAAAGUGGGCGGAAUUCGUGGUGUAGCGGUGAAAUGCUUAGAUAUCACGAAGAACUCCGAUUGCGAAGGCAGCUCACUGGAGCGCAACUGACGCUGAAGCUCGAAAGUGCGGGUAUCGAACAGGAUUAGAUACCCUGGUAGUCCGCACGGUAAACGAUGGAUGCCCGCUGUUGGU